CUUAAAGGCACAUCUACAGCCACAAAAGUUAGGAAAAAGAAAGUGUAUUUUUAGGAUACAAUUAAAUAUAUCAUACUUUGGAAACUCUGGACUGCCAAUUUUUCCUCCUAAUCUUGUAAUAACAAUAAUCAUAUUUAGCAGAGUUAGCUAAUCGUACUUCCCCCCCCUUGUUUUAACAGAACCCUGACUGUGUUCAGUGAUGAGCAGCUGUGUUCCAGGGAAGACAAACCACCACACCCACACCCCUAGCUCUAGGAGAUCAAGCUCAACCAGUCUAAACCAACAACUCCCUUUGACAAAGUGGCAGGCAAGUCACACAACACGGUAUGAAGGGCACCUCUUGGGGGGGGGGGGGGCUGCUUGUGAGGAAACAUUUAUCUGCUUUCAAGAUGAGCCCUGCAGAAGAUAAAGGCACGAUUCUUCUUCUUCUGUGCCAAGCCGUGAUGUCCAAGGCUCUGUCAACUUGGGGGCACACAGCCACGGAGGCCCUGUGUUGGGCUCCCAGCAAAGGAAGGGUCUGGAUCCUCAGUGAGAUCUGCUGGGCUGAGGCCACCACCGCCAAUCGUCCCUCUCUCCAGGAACUGUAUUUCUGGGAAACCAACAGUGCCAGUGGAUGAGGGGAAGCACGUCUUUUCAGAAGAACGCCACGUAGAGCCAACAGAAUAAUGAAGAGAUUUAGAAAAAUCACCAUCUUCAGCUCCUAAUGAAAUAACUCAUUCAGGCAAAGAUAACCAACGGACGCUGGAGCUGUUAGUGAAGAGUGGACAGUGAGCUGGGUGUUCAAAGACAAAAUACAACUUACAAAGGGAAAAGCGGAUCUUGAAAACGAAGAAACCAGAAGACACAAAAUGCUCACUUUCCUUGGUAUCUACUAAUCCAGGCUGUUAAUGGUACAUUCUUUUUAUUCCUUUUGAAUCUCCACCAUUCUUUUUCUUGCCUGCAAUGGCCCUUAAUAGCUUAUCUAUGGCCUGCUCACUCCUGUCUCCUCAGCCAACUCCUCCCUCCCGACAACUUCUAGGCACUGAAUUCAGGAUCUAAAUUUCCAAUCGGCCAUCCCCAAAAAUACCUCCAAAUCAACAGAUUCAAAAUGAAACUUGCUUACACUAUCAAUUCCGGUGCCCUCCUGAAAAAUAACCAUCAUGCUCUGUACCUCUUUCGACCCAAUCUCUCAUCUGAAGCCAGUACAGCAGCCUUCGAACCCGAGGCUGAUCCCCGCCUUAACCUCUCCAGCAAUGUUCUCUGCCACCUCCCACAGACGACUGUACUAAAAUGUGCGCUGGAGGGGCGCCUGGAGGCUCAAUCGUGAACCAUCUGCCUUUGACUUGGGUCAUGAUACCAGGGUUCUGGGGUCGAGCCCCGCAUCGAGCUCCCUACUAGGCAGAAAGCCUGCUUUCCCUCGCCCACUCCCCCUGCUUGUGUUCCCUCUCUCACUGUUUCUCUGUCAAAUAUAUAAGUAAAAUCUUAAAAAAAAAAAAGUACGCUGGAGCUGUGGGGCAGACACCACAGCUAGCGUGGAGGAAUCUGCAUACAAUCAUGCUCAAGGUGCCACACGCCUCUUUGCCUUCACUUAAGCUCUUUUGGAGCCUAGACUCCAAUACCAUUUCUUCUUGUAAGAUCAUUUCCCAUUUUUCAACACCCAAUGCAAUCACUAUUUUCUCUAAGAAAGAUUCUCGGACUUUCAACAGACAUUGGCAUGUCAUGCUUUUUGUUACCACUAUCUUCUAAUUUUACUUCUAAUUACAGUUCUGACUUAUAAUUUAGUUAAUUUUUAAAAUUGCUAUUUCCACUAUUCCAGCAAAACCGAGGGAGAAGAUCACCAUUCACCUCUAAACUCAAGCACUUAGCUCAGUGGCCUAUACCAACAUGAAGGGCUUUUUCUUCAAUAUGCAUUGUAUUUCCUAUUUUCACAUGGUUCAGAUGCCCAGAAUUUUCAAAGAACACUUCUAUAAGUUGUUCUAAAAAUUAAUAAGUGAAUGCUUUCAAAAGGCAUCAUGAUAAGCAUCAGUGAAAUGCAUUUUCACUGAAAUAUAAUGAUUGUACUUGUAGAUUUAUACAAGAUGUGUAACUCUGUUUUAUGCCCAUUUCAAUUUAAUGUCACACCUACAAUAUACAAUGUCUGUGGAUAAUGUGAUUACUUCCAAUUGCAUCCAAAAGGCAGUGUGACAUCUCUCCAUUUUCAUCAAUUAUGACAUGUAAUUCAUGUUUCAGGCCAUCACAAAGUAAUCAGAUUAAAGGAGAUAAGAGCUAUAGAUUUAAAAAAAAAAAUUGUCCUCUUGAACUCCACCCGAAAAACUCAAUUUUAUAUUUACAGAAUCAACUUUGAGUAGUUAAUAGAUAACAAAAAUAAAAUUAACCCCUCAUAUCAAAAAAGUUUUCCUAAUUCAAUACUGUUAUGGUAAUGUCAAUAAUGAAUUCAUGCAUUAAUUUAUAAGGUAUGAGAAGCCCAGCUGAAGUAUCUUAGUCUCUGUCAAGAAAGCAAAGAAUUUCUAAAAUGUAUUAGGAAUCACUAUGCAAUAUAUACUUUAGUUUGUGGAUAGCAACAUGUAGGCACUACUCGCAUUGCACUCAUGUUCUUCUUCACAAUCCUGAGCUUGAUCCAAAGUUCAUACAAAGACUGGAGUCCUAGAAAGUUGUGAUUCUGUAUUUAUGGGUAUAUCAGCAAACACCAUAACAUGCAAUAUGAUUUCUCCUUUACAAUACAUGCUUGGAUAUUCAUGAUUUCCAAUUGAAAUGUAUAAAGUACAUACUAUUUUCAGCUUAAAAAUAUUUAUUUUGGUGUAAAUGAUUUUAGAAACCUAGUAGUCUUAAAUUUGGUGAUCUGAAGAGGCACCUGCACCCCAAUAUUUACACAGCAAUGUCCACAACAGCCAAACUACGGAAAGAGCCCAGAUGUCCACCAAGAGAUAAAUGGAUAAAGAUGAUGUGGGUUGUGGGUGGGGUGUGUGUGUGUGUGUGAGAGAGAUAAUGGAAUAUUACUAAGCCAUCAAAAAGGAAAUCUCGCCAUUUGCAAUGACAUGGAUGGAACUGGAGGGUAUUAUGACAAGCGACAAGCGAGAUAAGUCAAUCAGAAAAAGAAAAUUAUCAUAUGAUCUCACAGGUGGAAUUUAAGAAAUAUAACAAAGGAUUGUAGGGGCAAGAGAGGAAAAAAUAAAACGAGAUGAAAUCAGAGAGGGAGAUAAAACGUAAGAGACUCUUAAUCAUGGGAAACAAACUGGAGAGGAGGGAGGUGGGGGGGAGGGGUAACUGGGUGACAGACAUUAAGCAGGACAUGUGAUGUAAUGAGCACUGGGAAUUAUAUAAGACUGAUGAAUCACUGACCUCCACCUCUGAAACCAAUAAUAUAUCAUAUGUUAAUUAAUUUAAAUGAAAAUAAAGUUUUUUAAAUAAAUAAAUGCCAUAUCCUCUAGCAAACCCAACUACAUUGUAAGCUUUGGAGAAAGGACCAUCUUCCUACCCCUACCCAUGAUGUCC
rnacentral:lncRNA from 1 species